rnacentral:rRNA from 1 species
CCUACGGGGGGCAGCAGUGGGGGAUAUUGCACAAUGGGGGGAACCCUGAUGCAGCGACGCCGCGUGGGUGAAGGAGUAUUUCGGUAUGUAAAGCCCUAUCGGCAGGGAAGAAAUUGGACGGUACCUGACUAAGAAGCCCCGGCUAACUACGUGCCAGCAGCCGCGGUAAUACGUAGGGGGCAAGCGUUAUCCGGAUUCACUGGGUGUAAAGGGAGCGUAGACGGUCAUGCAAGCCAGGGGUGAAAGCCCGGGGCCCAACCCCGGGACUGCCCUUGGAACUGCAUGGCUGGAGUGCGGGAGGGGCAGGCGGAAUUCCUGGUGUAGCGGGGAAAUGCGUAGAUAUCAGGAGGAACACCGGCGGCGAAGGCGGCCUGCUGGACCGCGACUGACGUUGAGGCUCGAAAGCGUGGGGAGCGAACAGGAUUAGAUACCCGAGUAGUC